CCUGAAUAUCCCCGUCGCUGGUGCCCGAGAUCAUGGUCCAAGUGGCGUGCCAGCCCUCCAGGACUGCGACCACUCGCACUCUUCUUCUCCAGAGACCGACUGGUCACGGGAUGAAGAAAUGCAUGCGGCGGCAGGACCCAGUGGCAUGCCAGCAGUCCAGGAUUGUGACCCCUCGCACUUCCCAUCUCGCGAGACCAACUGGUCACGGGAAGAAGAAAGG